rnacentral:rRNA from 1 species
GAUGAACGCUGGCGGCGUGCCUAAUACCCUUAAGACGAGCGAACAGAUGAGAAGCUUGCUUCUCUGAUGUUAGCGGCGGACGGGUGAGUAACACGUGGGUAAACCUACCUAUAAGACUGGGAUAACUCCGGGAAACCGGGGCUAAUACCAGAUAAUACAUUGAACCGCAUGGUUCAAUGUUGAAAGACGGUUUCGGCUGUCACUUAUAGAUGGACCCGCGCCGUAUUAGCUAGUUGGUAAGGUAACGGCUUACCAAGGCAACGAUACGUAGCCGACCUGAGAGGGUGAUCGGCCACACUGGAACUGAGACACGGUCCAGACUCCUACGGGAGGCAGCAGUAGGGAAUCUUCCGCAAUGGGCGAAAGCCUGACGGAGCAACGCCGCGUGAGUGAUGAAGGUCUUAGGAUCGUAAAACUCUGUUGUUAGGGAAGAACAAAUUUGUUAGUAACUGAACAAGUCUUGACGGUACCUAACCAGAAAGCCACGGCUAACUACGUGCCAGCAGCCGCGGUAAUACGUAGGUGCAAGCGUUAUCCGGAAUUAUUGGGCGUAAAGCGCGCGUAGGCGGUUUCUUAAGUCUGAUGUGAAAGCCCACGGCUCAACCGUGGAGGGUCAUUGGAAACUGGGGAACUUGAGUGCAGAAGAGGAGAGUGGAAUUCCAUGUGUAGCGGUGAAAUGCGCAGAGAUAUGGAGGAACACCAGUGGCGAAGGCGGCUCUCUGGUCUGUAACUGACGCUGAUGUGCGAAAGCGUGGGGAUCAAACAGGAUUAGAUACCCUGGUAGUCCACGCCGUAAACGAUGAGUGCUAAGUGUUAGGGGGUUUCCGCCCCUUAGUGCUGCAGCUAACGCAUUAAGCACUCCGCCUGGGGAGUACGACCGCAAGGUUGAAACUCAAAGGAAUUGACGGGGACCCGCACAAGCGGUGGAGCAUGUGGUUUAAUUCGAAGCAACGCGAAGAACCUUACCAAAUCUUGACAUCCUUUGACCGCUCUAGAGAUAGAGUCUUCCCCUUCGGGGGACAAAGUGACAGGUGGUGCAUGGUUGUCGUCAGCUCGUGUCGUGAGAUGUUGGGUUAAGUCCCGCAACGAGCGCAACCCUUAAGCUUAGUUGCCAUCAUUAAGUUGGGCACUCUAGGUUGACUGCCGGUGACAAACCGGAGGAAGGUGGGGAUGACGUCGAAUCAUCAUGCCCCUUAUGAUUUGGGCUACACACGUGCUACAAUGGAUAAUACAAAGGGCAGCGAACCCGCGAGGUCAAGCAAAUCCCAUAAAAUUAUUCUCAGUUCGGAUUGUAGUCUGCAACUCGACUACAUGAAGCUGGAAUCGCUAGUAAUCGUAGAUCAGCAUGCUACGGUGAAUACGUUCCCGGGUCUUGUACACACCGCCCGUCACACCACGAGAGUUUGUAACACCCGAAGCCGGUGGAGUAACCUUUUAUUAGGAGCUAGCCGUCGAAGGUGGGACAGAUGA